rnacentral:misc_RNA from 1 species
AAAACACUAUUAUGUAUUACACACAUAUUAAUUUUCAAGUACAAGGAAUAUAUAUAGGAGUUUAGGCAACCCCUCAAGUUCUAAUUACAUAAACCUAAAUUAAUAUCCAUUCAUGAACCAUCCAAGAAAUCAAAAAAGACACAUACUUUGAACUAUUACAUUAAUAAUAUUUAAUCACCAAGAAAAAACAAAAAUACAAAUGAACUAGACAUAUAUAGGAAAUUGCAAA